CCUAUAAGACUGGGAUAACUUCGGGAAACCGGAGCUAAUGCCGGAUAACAUUUGGAACCGCAUGGUUCUAAAGUAAAAGAUGGUUUUGCUAUCACUUAUAGAUGGACCCGCGCCGUAUUAGCUAGUUGGUAAGGUAACGGCUUACCAAGGCAACGAUACGUAGCCGACCUGAGAGGGUGAUCGGCCACACUGGAACUGAGACACGGUCCAGACUCCUACGGGAGGCAGCAGUAGGGAAUCUUCCGCAAUGGACGAAAGUCUGACGGAGCAACGCCGCGUGAGUGAUGAAGGUCUUCGGAUCGUAAAACUCUGUUAUUAGGGAAGAACAAAUGUGUAAGUAACUGUGCACAUCUUGACGGUACCUAAUCAGAAAGCCACGGCUAACUACGUGCCAGCAGCCGCGGUAAUACGUAGGUGGCAAGCGUUAUCCGGAAUUAUUGGGCGUAAAGCGCGCGUAGGCGGUUUCUUAAGUCUGAUGUGAAAGCCCACGGCUCAACCGUGGAGGGUCAUUGGAAACUGGGAAACUUGAGUACAGAAGAGGAAAGUGGAAUUCCAUGUGUAGCGGUGAAAUGCGCAGAGAUAUGGAGGAACACCAGUGGCGAAGGCGACUUUCUGGUCUGUAACUGACGCUGAUGUGCGAAAGCGUGGGGAUCAAACAGGAUUAGAUACCCUGGUAGUCCACGCCGUAAACGAUGAGUGCUAAGUGUUAGGGGGUUUCCGCCCCUUAGUGCUGCAGCUAACGCAUUAAGCACUCCGCCUGGGGAGUACGACCGCAGGUUGAAACUCAAG
rnacentral:rRNA from 1 species